rnacentral:rRNA from 1 species
UGCAGUCGANCGGCAGCGCGGGGCAACCUGGCGGCGAGUGGCGAACGGGUGAGUAAUAUAUCGGAACGUACCCUGGAGUGGGGGAUAACGUAGCGAAAGUUACGCUAAUACCGCAUACGAUCUAAGGAUGAAAGUGGGGGACGCGCAAGCACCUCAUGCUCCUGGAGCGGCCGAUAUUUGAUUAGCUAGUUGGUGGGGUAAAGGCCUACCAAGGCAUCGAUCAGUAGCUGGUCUGAGAGGACGACCAGCCACACUGGAACUGAGACACGGUCCAGACUCCUACGGGAGGCAGCAGUGGGGAAUUUUGGACAAUGGGCGAAAGCCUGAUCCAGCAAUGCCGCGUGAGUGAAGAAGGCCUUCGGGUUGUAAAGCUCUUUUGUCAGGGAAGAAACGGUCGUGGCUAAUAUCCAUGGCUAAUGACGGUACCUGAAGAAUAAGCACCGGCUAACUACGUGCCAGCAGCCGCGGUAAUACGUAGGGUGCAAGCGUUAAUCGGAAUUACUGGGCGUAAAGCGUGCGCAGGCGGUUUUGUAAGUCUGUCGUGAAAUCCCCGGGCUCAACCUGGGAAUUGCGAUGGAGACUGCAAGGCUAGAAUCUGGCAGAGGGGGGUAGAAUUCCACGUGUAGCAGUGAAAUGCGUAGAGAUGUGGAGGAACACCGAUGGCGAAGGCAGCCCCCUGGGUCAAGAUUGACGCUCAUGCACGAAAGCGUGGGGAGCAAACAGGAUUAGAUACCCUGGUAGUCCACGCCCUAAACGAUGUCUACUAGUUGUCGGGUUUUAAUUAACUUGGUAACGCAGCUAACGCGUGAAGUAGACCGCCUGGGGAGUACGGUCGCAAGANUAAAACUCAAAGGAAUUGACGGGGANCCGCACAAGCGGUGGAUGAUGUGGAUUAAUUCGAUGCAACGCGAAAAACCUUACCUACCCUUGACAUGUACGGAAGCCACGAGAGAUCGNNNCGUGCUCGAAAGAGAGCCGUAACACNGGUGCUGCAU